rnacentral:rRNA from 1 species
UCAGUAACACGUGGAUAACCUGCCCUUGGGACCGGCAUAACCCCGGGAAACUGGGGAUAAUUCCGGAUAACGCAUAUUUGCUGGAAUGCUUUAUGCGUCAAAAGGAUUCGUCUGCCCAAGGAUGGGUCUGCGGCCUAUCAGGUAGUAGUGGGUGUAAUGUACCUACUAGCCAGCGACGGGUACGGGUUGUGAGAGCAAGAGCCCGGAGAUGGAUUCUGAGACAUGAAUCCAGGCCCUACGGGGCGCAGCAGGCGCGAAAACUUUACAAUGCGGGAAACCGUGAUAAGGGGACACCGAGUGCCAGCAUCAUAUGCUGGCUGUCCGGAUGUGUAAAAUACAUCCGUUAGCAAGGGCCGGGCAAGACCGGUGCCAGCCGCCGCGGUAACACCGGCGGCCCGAGUGGUGAUCGUGAUUAUUGGGUCUAAAGGGUCCGUAGCCGGUUUGGUCAGUCCUCCGGGAAAUCUGAUAGCUCAACUAUUAGGCUUUCGGGGGAUACUGCCAGACUUGGAACCGGGAGAGGUAAGAGGUACUACAGGGGUAGGAGUGAAAUCUUGUAAUCCCUGUGGGACCACCUGUGGCGAAGGCGUCUUACCAGAACGGGUUCGACGGUGAGGGACGAAAGCUGGGGGCACGAACCGGAUUAGAUACCCGGGUAGUCCCAGCCGUAAACGAUGCUCGCUAGGUGUCAGGCAUGGCGCGACCGUGUCUGGUGCC